CCCCGCCCGCCGCCUCAAUCCGCAGCCCCCAAACGUUCGUCCUCACCGAACGCCCGCCCGAGACCGGAACCGGAAGCGCGGGCGGCGCCGUGGAUGGAGCGGGCGUUCUUAGCGGUGUGUUCCGUCUUCUCGUUGCGGACCGAAUUCCCCUGGACGUUCGCCCUCAGAGGCGGAGCUCGACACGAAAAGCAUCCGUGGAGCUCAAGUUUGAUGUGAAACCAGGCUCAGGGUCCACCUGUCCUCGCUGAUCCAUGGAUUUCUGUGUGACCAGGUUACACCUAUGGAGCCGUGGCCCCAACUACCACCAGUGAGUAUUCCUGGCCCUGGUCUCCUGUGUCCCGUCUGCAUUUGUAGUUUGGGAGCACUUGUUCUCCUUCAUCUGCUGUCCUUGCUCCCGAGCCGGCCACCACGUCCCUGCAUACUUGAUCAUCACCUGAGCCACCAGAAGCCACCACAGCUUUGGGGCACAACCUGAAGACCCUCACAGUCAACGUCACCAUCUCCACCCUCCGGUAUUCAUCAGACAUGAGCAAUGGCUAUGCCAUGUUCAACUUCACUGAGAAGGUCCUGCAGAGCCUGGUGAAACCCUGGUUCCAGCAGCUCCUGGCCUGAGAAGGAUGGGGCAGCCACCUGUGUGGACGCUGUCUGCACCC